rnacentral:rRNA from 1 species
UCGGGAAUUUUGGGCAAUGGGGGAAACCCUGACCCAGCAACGCCGCGUGAAGGAUGAAGUAUUUCGGUAUGUAAACUUCGAAAGAAUAGGAAGAAUAAAUGACGGUACUAUUUAUAAGGUCCGGCUAACUACGUGCCAGCAGCCGCGGUAAUACGUAGGGACCAAGCGUUGUUCGGAUUUACUGGGCGUAAAGGGCGCGUAGGCGGCAUGACAAGUCACUUGUGAAAUCUCUGGGCUUAACCCAGAACGGCCAAGUGAUACUGUCGCGCUAGAGUGCAGAAGGGGCAAUCGGAAUUCUUGGUGUAGCGGUGAAAUGCGUAGAUAUCAAGAGGAACACCUGAGGUGAAGACGGGUUGCUGGGCUGACACUGACGCUGAGGUGCGAAAGCGUGGGGAGCAAACAGGAUUAGAUACCCCUGUAGUCCCUGAGCGGGCUGGCAAGGCGCAU